GAAAAUUUAAAUUUAAAUUAUGACAAAAUAUUUAAGGCCAAAAAGAAAGAAGUACAUAAAAUUUAAUAGUAUUUUUAUGGAAAGGAAGAAUUACUGUAUAAGGAUAUGUCCAGCGUUUAAGAACUCCCUAAGCUCAAGCACUUUAAAAGUCAUUAAAAUUGCACAAGACACGCUCAAAAGACGACAACAACGACGACGGCGACGACGAAGACAACUCCACGAUCAUUUUUAUUGGCCAUUACCUCAGGCGCAUAACAAUUUCCAGCCGAUCCAAAAGCCCCGACUUCAGCUGAAGCCAACUUAUCAGUUACCAAAGUAUUUCCGCAUAGCGCACAGCCAUGCAGAAGAAGAAGAAGAAGCAGAGGUAGAAUAAGAAUGAUUAAGAAGCACGAGAAGUACGGAGAGCUAUCAAAGUGCGUUCAAGAACCAUGAAAAGGCCCAUCGCAAUGGAAAUGGAUAUGAAAAUGGGAAAGAAAGGUCUAUCUAUAUGCAUGCGUGUGCGUGUAGGGCGUGUAGAGUGUGUGUGUGCGUGUGUGGCUGUGUAUAUAGGGGCACAUGUUUUGCAUAUCAGCGCUGUCGGGGUCGGCCAUAGCCAUAGCCAUAUCCAUAGCGUAGUGGGGGUGGGUGGGGAUACCGUUGGCUCAAGACCAUCAUUUCGAAUAGAUACAAAAAGCGCAGCAACAAGUCAGCAAAAUUACGACGGGAGGUGUGCUCGGGUUUACGUGUCUGGAAUGCUUGACGGACUACGAAAUACAACUGAGAAAUAAAAUACAACAACAGAAGAAGAAAUAAACU